CCCCAGCCCCGUGUGGUCAGGCUAGGGGGUGGGUGGUCAGGGGAGGGCUGCAGGGAGCGAGGAUGGGGAGAUGGGGGGUGGGAGGAGUGGCCUGGGGCAGUGGGAGCCGGGGUUGGGGAGGGCACUCCCGGCAAAGGAGGGGGUCAGGGUGCGUUUUCGGGCAACAGUUCGGUUCCGGGUGAGCUACAGAGACAUGUAGGGGCAUUUGGAGCGUUUGGAACUCACACGUCGAAGCAGUGCGCCGCCGACAGCAGCCACCUCUCUGCCACCAGCACGGCCCCGCAACGGUGUUCCCGGCGCCGCAGCCACAGGCUCACCUGCCACGGCCACUCCCCACGGCCCGCUGCGCUGCCGCCCACAAUCCUG
rnacentral:lncRNA from 1 species